ACUCCUACGGGAGGCAGCAGUGGGGAAUAUUGCACAAUGGGCGCAAGCCUGAUGCAGCCAUGCCGCGUGUGUGAAGAAGGCCUCGGGUUGUGAAAUGCACUUUCAGUCGUGAGGAAGGUGGUGUUGUUAAUAGCAGCAUCAUUUGACGUUAGCGACAGAAGAAGCACCGGCUAACUCCGUGCCAGCAGCCGCGGUAAUACGGAGGGUGCGAGCGUUAAUCGGAAUUACUGGGCGUAAAGCGCAUGCAGGUGGUUUGUUAAGUCAGAUGUGAAAG
rnacentral:rRNA from 1 species